rnacentral:lncRNA from 1 species
AUUUUUUAAAGAUUUUAUUUAUUUAUUCAUGAGACACACACACACACACACACACACACAGGCAGAGACACAAGCAGAGGGAGAAGCAGGCUCCAUGCAGGGAGCCUGACGUGGGACUUGAUCCUGUGUCUUCAGGACCAUGCCCCGGGCUGAAGGCAGCGCUAAACCGCUGGGCCACCGAGGUUGCCCCCCAUAUGAUUUUUUAAAAUCCUUUCUCACUCUCCAUGUAAUGGUGUGUCUUGGAAUUGGAAAUGAGGGGCAAUUAACAGAGGCCAGCCUGGGACCCUAAGCAAUUUCUGAUCUUCCUGAACCCUAUCCCAUAGGCCUCAGUUUUCUCCUCUAUAGUCUGGGCCCCUAAAACCACCAGAGUGCUUUGUGGUGGGAAAUAGCAGAGACCAAAGCAGGGGACUGAAAACAAAAAGAAACCCCAAAUUUGACAUUUCCGGGUAGUUGUGUUAUCCAGAGCCAAGACCACAAUCACCUCUGCCCCCAACCCAACUUUGACACCCUUCCCUCUGCCACUCCCUUGGGUGGCCUUUGCCCAUCCUGGGAAAGCUCCAAAGCUCCUCCUCCACCCCAUUGCAUCGCAAAGGGAGGACAGAGGCACAAGGAAAUGGAGAGAAACCCAGACAGGACCAGAGAACCAGACAGAGCCCUAAAGAGAAAGAAGCUAAAAGAAGAGGAAAAUCAAAAAGCAAGAGGAGGCAACAGGCCAUGAAGGACACUGAGAUUCAGGGCCUCACAGACAGAGGCCAAAGAGGAGAGAGUCAGAUCUAGCCAGGUGAGCAGUGGCAGCCACUGGACACAAGGUGAGGGCAUAGCAUGUGAGUUCCCUGAAGGUCCUGGGGCACAUCCAUUUAUAGGCCAACCCCUCCAGUUAUGUUCACUGGCACUUCAGUCCUAGCUUUUUAGGACCCAGGACUAUCUACCUUCUAGCCAAGCCCAGCCCAAUCUAGCCAGAUGUUUGGUGGGUGCAGCUGCCAGCUGGAGCAGCAGGCCCCUACAGGCCCUGGGGAGUAGGCUAGAGAGGCGGCUACCUGGAAGGGGGCAGGCAGGGCUCCCACUCUGGACUUGGUGCCCCCAUAUCACUUUCUUCAAAUGCCCAGAAGAGGGUCCAUGGCAAGAAUGGUUCUCUGCCUUCCAGAUACGGCUCAGAGGACUCAGAAUCCAAGGACUCUCCUCCCAACAACUGGCUUACCCAUCUGCUGGAGGUGACCUCCUAGUGCUAUGUGUCUGGUCCUCCUCUGCCAAAUGAAUCACCUAGAGUAAGGGAAGAAGCAAGGGAGAGGCUGCAUGCUUCCUCCUCCAUGAGACUAAGAUACUGUAGCCAUACGUGGAAGCAUGUGUGUCAGACUUAUAUAUCCCAGCUUAAGGAGCCUGAAACUUGGCUUUUUCUCUGAAAUUUAAAAAUAAAUUAAAAAAAAAAUGCUUGGGUGGCUUAGUGGUUGAGCAUCUGCCUUUGGCUCCAGUCAUUAUCCUGGGGUCCUGGGAUCGAGUCCCACAUCGGGCUCCCCUCAGGGAGCCUGCUUCUUCCUCUGCCUAUGUCUCUGCCUCUCUUUGUGUGUCUCUCAUGAAUCAAUAAA